AAGUCGUAACAAGGUUUCCGUAGGUGAACCUGCGGAAGGAUCAUUAACGAGUUUUGAAGUGGGUUUGAUGCUGGUCUUCACAGGCAUGUGCUCGCCCUACUCUCAUCCACUCACACCUGUGCACCUAUAAAUGCUGGAAGUUAUUGUCCUUUGUUGGAGAGUGCUUCUUUGCGUUUAAUUUUCACAAACUCUUGAAUGUCAUAGAAUGUUCAUGGCCUACGGGCUUCAUAAAUGAAAUACAACUUUCAACAACGGAUCUCUUGGCUCUC
rnacentral:misc_RNA from 1 species